ACCUGAGUCUCUCAGUUGGUUAAGCAUCUGACUUCAGCUCAGGUCAUGAUUUCAUGGCUUGUGGGUUCGAGUCCCGCAUCAGGUU
rnacentral:tRNA from 1 species